rnacentral:rRNA from 1 species
UACGUAGGGUGCAAGCGUUGUCCGGAAUUAUUGGGCGUAAAGAGCUCGUAGGCGGUUCGUCGCGUCGGCUGUGAAAACCCGGAGCUCAACUCCGGGCCUGCAGUCGAUACGGGCGGACUUGAGUUCGGCAGGGGAGACUGGAAUUCCUGGUGUAGCGGUGAAAUGCGCAGAUAUCAGGAGGAACACCGAUGGCGAAGGCAGGUCUCUGGGCAUUAACUGACGCUGAGGGAAGCG